rnacentral:sRNA from 1 species
GCCAUGGGUGCCAAGCAGAGGGAACCCCUUCAGAAAGGGGAGCCAGGGUCAGUACCUUUGGGCCACCAUGACCUCCAGCCCUGCUGCUCCCCAGUUGGUUCCACGGCAAGAUCACACGGGAGCAGGCUGAGCGGCUUCUGUACCCGCCGGAGACAGGCCUGUUCCUGGUGCGGGAGAGCACCAACUACCCUGGAGACUACACGCUGUGCGUGAGCUGCGACGGCAAGGUGGAGCACUACCGCAUCAUGUACCAUGCCAGCAAGCUCAGCAUCGACGAGGAGGUGUACUUUGAGAACCUCAUGCAGCUGGUGGAGCACUACACCUCAGACGCAGAUGGGCUCUGUACGCGCCUCAUUAAACCAAAGGUCAUGGAGGGCACGGUGGCGGCCCAGGAUGAGUUCUACCGCAGCGGCUGGGCCCUGAACAUGAAGGAGCUGAAGCUGCUGCAGACCAUCGGCAAGGGGGAGUUUGGAGGUGAGCUGGGCCGGGCCACCUGGGGGGGUGCCGAGGGACUCGGAACUUGGGAACAAGCCCACCUCUCUGCCCCCAGACGUGAUGCUGGGCGAUUACCGAGGGAACAAAGUCGCUGUCAAGUGCAUUAAGAACGACGCCACUGCCCAGGCCUUCCUGGCUGAAGCCUCAGUCAUGACGCAACUGCGGCAUAGCAACCUGGUGCAGCUCCUGGGCGUGAUCGUGGAGGAGAAGGGCGGGCUCUACAUCGUCACUGAGUACAUGGCCAAGGGGAGCCUCGUGGACUACUUGCGGUCUCGGGGUCGGUCAGUGCUGGGCGGAGACUGUCUCCUCAAGUUCUCGCUAGAUGUCUGUGAGGCCAUGGAGUACCUGGAGGGCAACAACUUCGUGCAUCGAGACCUGGCUGCCCGCAAUGUGCUGGUGUCUGAGGACAACGUGGCCAAGGUCAGCGACUUUGGUCUCACCAAGGAGGC